rnacentral:rRNA from 1 species
CUUGCUCCUUUGACGUUAGCGGCGGACGGGUGAGUAACACGUAGGUAACCUACCUAUAAGACUGGGAUAACUUCGGGAAACCGGAGCUAAUACCGGAUAAUAUUUCGAACCGCAUGGUUCGAUAGUGAAAGAUGGCUUUGCUAUCACUUAUAGAUGGACCUGCGCCGUAUUAGCUAGUUGGUAAGGUAACGGCUUACCAAGGCAACGAUACGUAGCCGACCUGAGAGGGUGAUCGGCCACACUGGAACUGAGACACGGUCCAGACUCCUACGGGAGGCAGCAGUAGGGAAUCUUCCGCAAUGGGCGAAAGCCUGACGGAGCAACGCCGCGUGAGUGAUGAAGGUCUUCGGAUCGUAAAACUCUGUUAUUAGGGAAGAACAAACGUGUAAGUAACUGUGCACGUCUUGACGGUACCUAAUCAGAAAGCCACGGCUAACUACGUGCCAGCAGCCGCGGUGAUACGUAGGUGGCAAGCGUUAUCCGGAAUUAUUGGGCGUAAAGCGCGCGUAGGCGGUUUUUUAAGUCUGAUGUGAAAGCCCACGGCUCAACCGUGGAGGGUCAUUGGAAACUGGAAAACUUGAGUGCAGAAGAGGAAAAGUGGAAUUCCAUGUGUAGCGGUGAAAUGCGCAGAGAUAUGGAGGAACACCAGUGGCGAAGCGACUUUCUGGUCUGUACUGACGCUGAUGUGCGAAAGCGUGGGGAUCAAACAGGAUUAGAUACCCUGGUAGUUCCACCGCCG